rnacentral:rRNA from 1 species
GACGAACGCUGGCGGCGUGCUUAACACAUGCAAGUCGAACGGAAAGGCCCUGCUUUUGUGGGGUGCUCGAGUGGCGAACGGGUGAGUAACACGUGAGUAGCCUGCCCUUGACUUUGGGAUAACUUCAGGAAACUGGGGCUAAUACCGGAUAGGAGCUCCUGCUGCAUGGUGGGGGUUGGAAAGUUUCGGCGGUUGGGGAUGGACUCGCGGCUUAUCAGCUUGUUGGUGGGGUAGUGGCUUACCAAGGCUUUGACGGGUAGCCGGCCCGAGAGGGUGACCGGCCACAUUGGGACUGAGAUACGGCCCAGACUCCUACGGGAGGCAGCAGUGGGGAAUAUUGCACAAUGGGCGGAAGCCUGAUGCAGCAACGCCGCGUGCGGGAUGACGGCCUUCGGGUUGUAAACCGCUUUCGCCUGUGACGAAGCGUGAGUGACGGUAAUGGGUAAAGAAGCACCGGCUAACUACGUG